CUCAGAUUCCCAGUGCCCACAUGGGGACAACAACCAUCUGCUACUCCAGUUCCUGAGGUGCUUACGCCCUCUCUGUGCUUCCACAGGCGCUGUUUGCACAUGGUGCACAGACGUACAUGCAGGCAGAACUCCCACAGACAUAGGGCGUUAUAAGAACCACGAAAAUGGAAACGGUCAUAUUUGGGAGGAAGGAAGAGCCGGUUGGGGGCAGGGACAAGAGGAGGUGGAACGGGGUGAAGAAUAUGGUCAAAGCACAUGUACCCGUGUGAAAUGUUAAGAUGAGAACUCCAUCUGUCUUCACAAAUCAUAUAUGCGAAUAAAUUUAAGGUCUAAGUAACUACAUGGCCUUUUAAUAGUAAAGAUGGCGUUAGGACUGGUAUCCAGAUACCUGACUAGUGGAGGGCUUGUUUGGCUACCGUGCCAACCUACUUCUUUUUUUUUAAACUUUUCCAGUGAGUUUUUAUAGUAGUUGCAUCAUGAUUCAGGGUCCCAGGGUAGGGACCAUCAUAUACUGAGGUCCCCCUUUUCUAUCAGGGGAGAAGGUCAAAGUACAGAGGAGAGGAGGGCGGAGCCAGGUCAGAUCUUCCCAGGAAAUGUGUCUUCUGCUAUGUGGUCAUCCCAGGCUGAGACCGGUGAGACGGGGCAGAGGGACUUGUACACACGCCGGUACCACUCACACACGGAGACAUCAUCCCCCUGCCCCCCGUGGCCAUCACUGCCUUCUCACAGCGGUGGAAGUCCAGGAAAACUACGUGGCUGUACUCUGGAACUUCCGGCAGAGAGUGAAUAUUAAGGCGGGUGACUUCAGGAUGUAUAUCUAGUUCUCUUUUGGAACCAGUAAGCUGGCAUUUUUCGGUCGUCAGCCUUGCACAGGGUCCAAAUCCAGGAGGCCUUUGGCCCUGAGAUUGCCCCCAAACCAACCAGCCUG
rnacentral:lncRNA from 1 species